CCUACGGGGGGCAGCAGUCGAGAAUCAUUCACAAUGGGCGUAAGCCUGACGCAGCGACGCCGCGUGAGGGAUGAAGGUCUUCGGAUCGUAAACCUCUGUCAGCAGGGAAGAACGGUCACUGUGCUAAUCAGCAGUGAAUUGACGGUACCUGCAAAGGAAGCACCGGCUAACUCCGUGCCAGCAGCCGCGGUAAUACGGAGGGUGCGAGCGUUAAUCGGAAUUACUGGGCGUAAAGCGCUCGUAGGCGGUAUGUCAAGUCAAGGGUGAAAUCCCCGCGCUCAACGUGGGAACUGCCUUUGAAACUGGCAAACUGGAGUGUGUGAGAGGAUAGUAGAAUUCCAGGUGUAGGAGUGAAAUGCGUAGAUAUCUGGAGGAACAUCAGUGGCGAAGGCGACUAUCUGGCACAUAACUGACGCUGAGGAGCGAAAGCGUGGGUAGCAAACAGGAUUAGAUACCCCAGUAGUC
rnacentral:rRNA from 1 species